UACGUAGGGUGCGAGCGUUGUCCGGAAUUACUGGGCGUAAAGGGCGCGUAGGCGGCUUAACAAGUCACUUGUGAAAUCUCCGGGCUUAACUCGGAACGGCCAAGUGAAACUGUUAUGCUAGAGUGCAGAAGGGGCAAUCGGAAUUCUUGGUGUAGCGGUGAAAUGCGUAGAUAUCAAGAGGAACACCUGAGGUGAAGACGGGUUGCUGGGCUGACACUGACGCUGAUGCGCGAAAGCCAGGGGAGCAAACGGG
rnacentral:rRNA from 1 species